rnacentral:rRNA from 1 species
AAUUUUGGACAAUGGGGGAAACCCUGAUCCAGCCAUCCCGCGUGUAUGAUGAAGGCCUUCGGUUUGUAAAGUACUUUUGGCAGAGAAGAAAAGGUAUCUCCUAAUACGAGAUAAUGCUGACUGAAUCUGCAGAAUAAGCACCGGCGAACUACGUGACAUCAGCCGCGGUAAGACGUAGGGUGCAAGCGUUAAUCGGAAUUACUGGGCGUAAAGGCGGUGUAGGCGGUUCGGAAAGAAAGAUGUGAAAUCCCAGCGCUCAACCUUGGAACUGCAUUUUUAACUGCCGAGCUAGAGUAUGUCAGAGGGGGGUAGAAUUCCACGUGUAGCAGUGAAAUGCGUAGAUAUGUGGAGGAAUACCGAUGGCGAAGGCAGCCCCCUGGGAUAAUACUGACGCUCAGACACGAAAGCGUGGGGAGCAAACAGG